rnacentral:rRNA from 1 species
GACGAACGCUGGCGGCGUGCUUAACACAUGCAAGUCGAACGGAAAGGCCCUGCUUUUGUGGGGUGCUCGAGUGGCGAACGGGUGAGUAACACGUGUGUAACCUGCCCUUUACUUUGGGAUAACUUCAGGUAACUGGGGCUAAUACCUGAUAUGAUCUCCUGCUGCAUGGUGUGGGUUGGAAAGUUUCGGCGGUUGGGGAUUGACUCGCGGCUUAUCAGCUUGUUGGUGGGGUAGUGGCUUACCAAGGCUUUGACGGGUAGCAGGCCUGAGAGGGUGACCGGGGAAAAUGGGACUGAGAUACGGCCCAGAGUCCAACGGGAGGCAGCAGUGGGGAAUAUUGCACAAUGGGCGGAAGCAUGAUGAAGAAACGCGGCGUGCGGGAUGAAGGCCUUCGGGUUGUAAAACGAUUUAGAAUGUGACGAAGCGUGAGUGACGGUAAUGGGUAAAGAAGCACCGGCUAACUACGUG